GUAAACUGCCCGAGGGAGGGGGAUGACUACUGGAAACGGUAGCUAAUACCGCAUAACGUCGCAAGACCAAAGUGGGGGACCUUCGGGCCUCACACCAUCGGAUGUGCCCAGAUGGGAUUAGCUGGUAGGCGGGGUAACGGCCCACCUAGGCGACGAUCCCUAGCUGGUCUGAGAGGAUGACCAGCCACACUGGAACUGAGACACGGUCCAGACUCCUACGGGAGGCAGCAGUGGGGAAUAUUGCACAAUGGGCGCAAGCCUGAUGCAGCCAUGCCGCGUGUAUGAAGAAGGCCUUCGGGUUGUAAAGUACUUUCAGCGGGGAGGAAGGUGCUGAGGUUAAUAACCUCAGCAAUUGACGUUACCCGCAGAAGAAGCACCGGCUAACUCCGUGCCAGCAGCCGCGGUAAUACGGAGGGUGCAAGCGUUAAUCGAAAUUACUGGGCGUAAAGCGCACGCAGGCGGGUCUGUUCAACUCAAAU
rnacentral:rRNA from 1 species